AACUUUUGGCAACGGAUCUCUUGGUUCUCCCAUCGAUGAAGAACGCAGCGAAUUGCGAUAAGUAAUGUGAAUUGCAGAAGUGAAUCAUCGAAUCUUUGAACGCACCUUGCGCUCCCGGCAGAUCUAAUCUGGGGAGCAUGCCUGUUUGAGGGCCGCGAAUUGUUUCGAACGACAGCUUUCUUAUUUAGUUGAGAAAGCUGGCGGAUCGGUAUUGAGGGU
rnacentral:rRNA from 1 species